UACGUAGGGGGCAAGCGUUGUCCGGAUUUAUUGGGCGUAAAGAGCUCGUAGGUGGUUCGGUAAGUCGGAUGUGAAAUCUCCAGGCUCAACCUGGAGGGGUCAUUCGAUACUGCCGUGACUAGAGGUCGGUAGGGGAGUGUGGAAUUCCUGGUGGAGCGGUGAAAUGCGCAGAUAUCAGGAGGAACACCCGUAGCGAAGGCGGCACUCUGGGCCGAUACUGACACUGAGGAGCGAAAGCGUGGGGAGCGAAACAGG
rnacentral:rRNA from 1 species